rnacentral:rRNA from 1 species
AGAACGAACGCUGGCGGCAUGCCUAACACAUGCAAGUCGAACGCGUGGAGCAAUCCACGAGUGGCGCACGGGUGAGUAACGCGUGGGAACCUGCCCUGGAGUGGGGGAUAACCGAGGGAAACCUCGGCUAAUACCGCAUACGUCCUGAGGGAGAAAGAUUUAUCGCUCUGGGAGGGGCCCGCGUCGGAUUAGCUAGUUGGUGGGGUAACGGCCCACCAAGGCUUUGAUCCGUAGCUGGUCUGAGAGGAUGAUCAGCCACACUGGGACUGAGACACGGCCCAGACUCCUACGGGAGGCAGCAGUGGGGAAUAUUGGACAAUGGGCGCAAGCCUGAUCCAGCAAUGCCGCGUGAGUGAUGAAGGCCUUCGGGUUGUAAAGCACUUUUAUCAGGAACGAAAUACCACGGGUUAAUAACCUAUGGGGCUGACGGUACCUGAGGAAUAAGCACCGGCUAACUUCGCGCCAGCAGCCGCGGUAA